UUUGAGCAUAUAAAUUACCUUGUCACUAUUUUUUUUUCUUUAUCAUGUAGGUAACAAGUCGAGAGAGCUUUCUCCUAAAGAGGGAGGGUAUGUAAAUGACAUAUUUUCCUUUCGAGCCAUAUGUAAAUUCCAGGUUAUUGGCAGCAACUUUGCCAACUUCACCAACCAAAGGGGCUAUGACUUUGGAAGAUUCUUCGCGAGCAAGUGGCCCUAUUCGAGAAAAAAUCAUCUUUAAGAGGGAGGGUAUGAUACGAACCUGAUCGCAUCAUGUUUUGACACAA
rnacentral:lncRNA from 1 species